GGAGGUGGACGGAGGAUCGCCGGCGGACAACGACCGUCCGCGGGAGGAAAGUCCGGGCUCCGCAGGGUGGGGAAGUCGUUAACAGCGACCCGGGGCGACCCGAGGGAAAGCGCAACAGAAAUCACACCGCCGAUGGCGCGCAACUGCAGGUUCGAAAGAGCUUGCGGUUCGGGUUGGCGCUUUGCGCCAGCCCCGCACAGGUAAGGUUGAAAUCGUGGGGUAAGAGCCCACGCGCGACAGCCGGGUGACCGGCGGCGAGGCAAGCCCUUCCCGGAGCAAGCUCGAAUAGGGAUACCCUGGAGGAUGACCCGUCCGAUCGAAUCGGUUCGCCGGUUCGGGGUAUCCGGGUGAGAGUGCUCGAGCGGUACGGCAACGUAUCGCCUAGACGAAUGAUCCUCGCUGCGAGGGCGAGAGCCCGAAGCAGGACAGGACCCGGCUUACAGUCCACUGCUGGCC
rnacentral:RNase_P_RNA from 1 species